AAGCCCGGAGAUUCCCUCCGCCUCUCGCUUCACUUUUACUGACUACGAAAUGAACUGGGUCCGUCAGGCUCCUGGGAAGGGGCUAGAGUGGGUGGCUAGGGUUAGCUCCCCAAGCGGAUCGAGCCAGUGGUAUACUAAGGCUGUCGAAGGGCGAUUCACCAUCUCCAGAGACAACUCCAUCACCACGAUUGAAAUCCUCCAGAAAAGGUUUCCUCUGGGAGGUUAGAUCCAGACCUGUCGCUGUGUUCAGGGACGUCAGGAAGCACAGGAGGCACUCGGACCAGCAGCAGCCAGCUCAGGACUGAGAUCACGAUCAGGAGGAAUAGGGGCCUGGGCACCUCCACCAGUGCGAGGCGAUGUUAGAAUCUUGUGCCUCUGCUUGGACAAACUCCCAGUAAUUGUUUCUAUGUCCGGUCCCAGGUUCUUCUGGUGGAGUCCGGAGGUGGAAUUCAGAAGCCCGGAGACUCUCUCAGCCUCUCCUGCAAAGCCUCCGGGUUCACCUUCACCAACUACCAUAUGAGCUGGGUCCGUCAGGCACCCGGGAAGGGCCUGGAGUGGGUCUCACUGAUAUACAACCCUGCUAAUAGCCACAGCACGUUUUACAGUUAUUCACCAUCUCCAGAGACGACUCCAAGAGCCUGGUGUAGCUGCAAAUGACCAGACUGAAAGCGGAAGACACCGGCCGCUAUUACUGUCCGAGAGACACAGCGAUCAGAAAUCAACUGCAGUGAAUACAAAAACCUCUUCCUCGAAUCUAAACAUUCUCAGCGCCAGCAGAGAGCAGCAGAUACCCGGAGAAGGCUGAAUGGUGCUCCAUGAGCGCAUUGUCUCUGUUUGCUCUUUAAUGCAUAAGCACAAGCUGGAGAAGAGUUAAAGAUGAGUUUGUUUUAUUUUCUGGGUAAUUUCGGGCCGUUCCUAUACACCUGGUGGUUCACCCUGAAUACAGGCGUUAGGACUCUGUUCAAAGACAAGACCAAGCCAUUUUAGUGUGGGAUUUUCAAAGGCUCCCAAAUGGUUCCAGCUUUCUUUUUCGAAACUCCUGUGUUGGGCAGGAGGUGCGUGUUGGAAACAGCUGUGGGGUGAGGUUUGGCCAAAUUGCCAAGAACACGCAGUAAGGAAGCAUCGCUUUCAGAUUGCCUGUAGGUCAUGUCCAAAGAGUAGUGUCAGGGGAUACUUCUGGUUCUGUUUUCACAUAGUCCCGUUCUUUGGCUGAGGGUUCUGGUCUCUGCUAUUCCCUAUCAGGUCACCGCCCCCCCGCCCCGCUCAAUCUCUCAUCGGGCCUGCUCCCCUUGCUGGGUUCAGCCCCUUUUAUUUCCAACCCGCCCGGCUCUCCCCAGAUUAUGCAAAGCUGACACAGCCAAUUCCCUACUUACGCACUGAC